CACUGGGUGUUACUUCUGAGAGGAGAUGAGGUCGCUGGGUGUUACUUCUGAGAGGAGAUGAGGUCACUGGGUGUCACAUCCCAGAGGAGACGAGGUCACUGGGUGUUACUUCUGAGAGGAGAUGAGGUCGCUGGGUGUUAC
ensembl:miRNA